rnacentral:pre_miRNA from 1 species
CAUGCCCGUGGUGUUCUGAUGGACAGCGGGGAAGUGCACUUGUGCUUAUGUAAUCGGUGCUUCGCCCUCUCCAUCAUAAUAACACGAGGAUG